GUGCCCGUAGUUCCAAUCUGGUAGAACGGCUCCUUUGCAAGGAGAAGGCUCGGAGUUCGAAUCUCCGCGGGUACA
rnacentral:tRNA from 1 species